UGAGAAAACUGUGACCAAAGUUUGUUAUUUUGUUACGGACAGACAGACAGACGGACAGACAGACAGACGGACAGACACACAAGGGUAAAACAGUAUACCCCCCUCUCCUUCGGAGCGGGGGUAUAAUAAUACAAAUACCCGGUAUGUUAAAGCUGAAUACGACUCGUAAAUAGGCAUACGCCAUUUUCGAUACUAUUAGCUACGAUAUCAGCACCGGGAUAUACCCUUCGGAUUCGUUACACUUGACUGUGGAGUGGCGACACUUGUUGUGCUGGUUAUCUUGCUUUACAUUUGCUUUCAUUUUAUUGCACUUACGUGUAUUUGUGAUUGUUUGUAUACUGCACUGACCUGUGCAACUGUUGUAAGUUUCUCGGGUAUCUUACUUUCCUGCAUUAGAAGAAGUACACAGUUAUAUUUUGUCGCUACCGAGUGCUGUAUAGCAUACGUCCGUCUUCACCGGUGUCGAUUGAAUACACUGAACAGUGAUCAAGUCAGCGGCUUUAUAUAAGAACUCAGAUAUAGCAAGAAACCAAUCGAAUAUGGCGGACACAUUCCUUUUAUGAAUCGUGUUCAGCUUUAAGAAGGAAUAAAACACGAACCUUCGGAAAUCAGUGUCAAGGAGGAGUAAGCAUCCCCUUUUAACCGGUCACACCCGCCGUUAGCCCUAUGUAUUGAUCACGUAGACAGAACAUUUCGUAGUCAAAUUGACAGGUGAGCGUGUUCUAGUGUGCCCAAGCUGCACUGAGCAAUGCAGACAUACCCAAGAAAAGGCUUGAGGGAUUCAUUUUAAAAACUUAGGACUUUAUCGAUUAAUGAAUUUCAUGGAAACAAUAUAAAAAUUAACAUACUGAACUGAAAGUGCACAAGACAGGGGGACAUUUUACUACCGCAAUUUACUUAAUGCAAGAGACGUGAAAGGGAAAGUAAAGAAUACAUUUCGUCCACACAAGAUCUUGUACUACACCACUCUGGAUGCAAUUUGUCUUCUUAUGUUUCUUCAAGAUUUGGAUGUUGAUUUGGAUUCAGAAAUACCCUUGCCAAGCCACUUCAACAACUUGACAAAUGAUGAAAAAAAUACAGUGGUUGAAUGAAAUAUGCGGUAAAAUACUAGGAAAAAAUAUUUCUUUGAUGGAUCAUCUGAUGUGUGUGAACAAUUACGUGAAAUUACAGGGAAUCCACAUCAUCAUACCUAUUGGGUACAUACUUUAGAAGAUGGUCGAAUUCGAUGUCUCUUUUGUCCUAAAACAUAUGCUUAUGUAGGCUCGUUAAAAGCUCACGAGAGCAAAAUGCAUAACAUCACCAUAGCAAAACAGUCCAAAGUGUCUAAAAAGAAAGAUCCUAACGCAGAUCAACUUCAGGACUACAUUUUAAUGCUCAUCACAGUUGUGAUGCUACAUAAGAAUCUCGACAGUGCUCUGGACAUGGGAGAUGGGGAACGAUCUGUAAGAUCAACAAAGUAUUAACUGCCAAUAUACAACAAACCCAACAAGCAAAUUCAAAGAAUUGUGGUCCCCCGGUGUCUUAGUGGACGGGAUGACAUUAUUUACGACAUAUUGUAACUGUCUUGAUUGUGUGUCCCGUCUUGUCUGUGCAUUAUACAAAAAAGAUAUUAAUUACUGAAUCAAUAACAGUUAUGA